rnacentral:rRNA from 1 species
ACAGAGGUCCCGAGCGUUGUUCGGAUUCACUGGGCGUAAAGGGUGCGCAGGUGGUCGGGUAAGUCUGAUGUGAAAUCCCGCAGCUUAACUGCGGAAUGGCAUUGGAUACUAUUCGGCUAGAGGGUUGGAGGGGGGACUGGAAUUCUCGGUGUAGCAGUGAAAUGCGUAGAUAUCGAGAGGAACACCAGUGGCGAAGGCGAGUCCCUGGACAACUCCUGACGCUGAGGCACGAAAGCUAGGGGAGCAAACAGGA